rnacentral:rRNA from 1 species
UACGGAGGUGGCAAGCGUUGCUCGGAAUCACUGGGCGUAAAGGGCGCGUAGGCGGGGAGGUAAGUCGGGGUGUGAAAUCCCUCGGCCCAACUGAGGAACUGCGCCCGAGACUGCUUCUCUUGAGUCCCGGAGAGGAAGAUGGAAUUCCCGGUGUAGCGGUGAAAUGUGUAGAGAUCGGGAGGAACACCGGUGGCGAAGGCGGUCUUCUGGACGGUGACUGACGCUGAGGCGCGAAAGCGUGGGGAGCAAACGGG